GGUGAGGAACACGUGAGGAAUCUGCCUUCUACUCUGGGAUAACUCCGGGAAACCGGGGCUAAUACCGGAUAUGAAACUUGGUGGCAUCACCGAGUUUGGAAAGUUUUUCGGUAGAAGAUGACCUCGCGGCCUAUCAGCUUGUUGGUGAGGUAAUGGCUCACCAAGGCGACGACGGGUAGCCGGCCUGAGAGGGCGACCGGCCACACUGGGACUGAGACACGGCCCAGACUCCUACGGGAGGCAGCAGUGGGGAAUAUUGGGCAAUGGAGGAAACUCUGACCCAGCGACGCCGCGUGCGGGAUGAAGGCCUUCGGGUUGUAAACCGCUUUCAGCAGGGAAGAAGCGAAAGUGACGGUACCUGCAGAAGAAGCACCGGCUAACUAUGUGCCAGCAGCCGCGGUAAUACAUAGGGUGCAAGCGUUGUCCGGAAUUAUUGGGCGUAAAGAGCUCGUAGGUGGUUCGUUACGUCGGAUGUGAAACUCUGGGGCUCAACCCCAGACCUGCAUUCGAUACGGGCGAACUAGAGUGUGGUAGGGGAGACUGGAAUUCCUGGUGUAGCGGUGGAAUGCGCAGAUAUCAGGAGGAACACCGAUGGCGAAGGCAGGUCUCUGGGCCAUUACUGACACUGAGGAGCGAAAGCGUGGGGAGCGAACAGGAUUAGAUACCCUGGUAGUCCACGCCGUAAACGGUGGGCGCUAGUUGUGGGAACCUUCCACGGUUUCUGCGACGCAGCUAACGCAUUAAGCG
rnacentral:rRNA from 1 species